GAGAUCAGGUGUUUGCCAGUCAUCCUCUAGACUAUUCAAUAACUUUGACCAAGCCAAGAAAUGGUGUUCUUAGGUUGACAUGGAGUUCAUUUGGGAAGUUUGCUCAGGUCAUGUAUAUUGUCAGCAUCAAUAAAUGUGAGUCACGGCACUAGCUGAAAGCCAGCUACUAAACAAGCAGAGCCAUCCUCCAUCCUAAAGGUGCCAGUUCAUACUAGGUAAGAAUCUGUCUCAGUCUUUUACCUCCACUUUAGCUCCUCACUCUGAAGUAAAGGUGUGUUUUCUCAGAGCAAAGGGGGGGGGGGGGGGGGGGUCUGUGCUUAAAAGGUCCUGAAAGAAUUUAACCUGCAGCAAUUUACCCACUGAGGCAUUUAUAAUGCAUGAGAAAUAUAAGUAUUUUCUCUUCCAUUAUCAAAGACCAGAUCACUGACUAAUUACCUCACCUCUGAACUAUAAUUAAUGUAUUUUCAAAACACUGUAGAAAUUCCACUUAACUCUGGGAUUUGUUCAUUGCAGGCACCAGACUGCUGACAAAAUGUCCAAGAAGGUCACUGCAGAGCAUGUUCGCAUCCCUGACACCUGUAUAUAAAGAUGGAUUUAUGCCCUCUGCCCGCCGUGCAGGUGGCCAGGUCCAUCAGCAGGAACCUUCUCCUGGCAGAGGUCCGUGCCUUCAGUCACCACCCCAUGGUUGGCUCCUUUGGCAGUGCUGCUGCAUCCUCAGCACCUUCCCGUGAUGCUCUGUGCAGGGUGGACCUGGGGGCUUGCCCAAUGCUUCAGUGGUCUGGGGUGGAGCCAAAAUUGGGUCUGAUCCAUGGCUGAAGGAAGAACCUCCUGUGCUGGGCAUAUCAGCCUGUCCUCAGGGGAUUUGGCCUGUCUGCCUGACUGUGAAAAACAGUCCCCUGCCCUCAGUCUGCUGCAUGCCAGCAUUGAGCCCACACCGUCACCACCCAGGUAUGUCACAGAAGACGCUGACAAACUGCAGUGCCCUCACUUCUUAAAGCUGCGAGAGUCAAAGGGAGGAAUGACGAGAAUAUUUGUCUUUACAAAAAAGUAGGACAUGCAGCAGACUGUGCACUGCCACCUGCAUGGCAGCAGCACACUAUAGCUGGAAAAAAAGAGAGACCGC
rnacentral:lncRNA from 1 species